UUUGUUGUAUGGUGCAGAGUGUGGCCAAUUAAGAACGCCCACGUCCAGAAGAUUAAUAUAGCAGAGAUGAUGAUGCUUAGAUGGAUAUGUGGGUAUACCAAGAGAGAUAUGAUUACGAACGAGGGCCAAAGUGGUCAACUCUAGACCACCAGAAGCAAGUUCAGCUGAGAAUGCUUCAAUUUAGCGAUAAUUGAGUAAAAGAACAGUGUAAAUACAGGGAGAAGAACAUAUACUUCAAACC